rnacentral:lncRNA from 1 species
UAAUAGUUGAAACCAAAAUAGAUCUAAGCUAACAGAUUCAGAAAGUAAAAAACAACAACAGAUAGAAUCAUACAUCAAAGCCACACAAAAAAAAAACAGCAUAGAUGUAAGCAAAGGGAUUCAGAGAGUAAAAUAACAACUAAUGUAAUUAAAUGGCAUGAGCUUCAACUCUUGAUUUCCAUUUCAUUUCCCAAGUUUCAUGACAAUCAGCAGUCUACAAAGGCAUGUACCUGGAUAUGAUCAAAACAAUGGUAAAUUCGAGUCAGGAGGUAGCCAAUGACAAAUAGUAGCAACGAGCAACAAUUAGCAGUAGUUUCGAAUUAAUUCCAACAAGAAAAUGUUAUCAAGUAACCCAGGAAGUGAUUUUAAUCGAAUAACACCAGUAAACAAACUCAAAAUCAGAUUGCAUGACCAAAUUGAAACUCAGAGAUCAACUAUGAGCUCCUGAAGCCUCCACUACUGAAUUACCAGGCCAAUUCAAAUCAUUUUUUCAACCUUGUAUAAGCUGGAAAUUUAAAUUAGGACUUAGAGCUUUAAGAUUACCCUAAAAAUUUCAAUAGAAUAGUGAUUCUUGGAAUUUCGCUCGCUUGAAACUUUCAGAGCUUUUUUAGUGUUUCUCAAUGCUCCCUUCAAC